UCGAAAUCGAACGGAAGAACGACCCGCGAACCGUCUUUGCGUAACGAACCGAGCUCGCGAGCAGCAAACGCUCGCGCGUCUCGUGUCGCGUCGGCACGGUCCUCGAAAGGGCCACGCCGCACCGACAAACUAACAAUGUCAGCACGGAUCGUGCCAAGGAGCUGUACAUGCGAGAGUCGCCGUCCCACGCCCCCGGUCCCCCUCGACUGGGGGCGGGUGACAUGCGCGAUCUCCGCUCUUAGUCUUAAUGACUCUCGGCGACGGAUAUCUCGGCUCUUGCAUCGAUGAAGAACGUAGCGAAAUGCGAUACUUGGUGUGAAUUGCAGAAUCCCGCGAACCAUCAAUUCUUUGAACGCAAGUUGCGCCCGAAGCCAUCCGGCCGAGGGCACGCCUGCCUGGGUGUCGUGAAUCCCCUUGCCCCCGGGCACCCGCACGAGCAUCGUCGCGGAUAUGCCCGGGCGCAGAAUAUGGUCUCCCGUCGGAUCGGCGUGCGCUGCACGUCGUGGGGCGGUUGGCCGAAAAUCGAGCAUUGCGACGUCGGGCUCCACGGCGUUCGGUGGAUCGAACGCGAUUGGCUGCGCCGUGGUCCCGUCAUGCCGCGGGCUCCGGACUACGACGAUUCCCGUG
rnacentral:rRNA from 1 species